rnacentral:snoRNA from 1 species
AGCUUUCUGCGAUCCCUUACCCCUGUGAUCUGAACAUUAGUCUGAGUGACUAAAAAAGAAAGAAAAAUAAAACUGAAGUGGGCUUGGAGCCUUUAGUAUAGAUGU